CAAUAUUAUAGCAGUUCUAUUUCGGAGGACGAAGAUAUUGAUAUGGAGGAAAACGUUGAAGAAAUGAGUCAAUUACCUGGGCUUUCAAAAGAACUGCGAAUAUUAUAACAGCUCCUGUAAUGAUUUAAUGUUAUUAAAAAAGUUAUUAAAUUACAGUAAUAAUAAACUAGGAGAAAUAGCUAUAAAAAAUGUAUAAACCAUUUAUGAUAUUUAAAUGAUGAGUGUGCUGUGUUUUUUUUAUUUGACGAUAGAUUUGACAUUAAUAUUAAACAGCGAAUGGCAAAAAAAAUAUUAUAAGGUUAUGAACAGAGCACGAAUGAAGAGGCAGAAGAAAAUAAAGAUUCAAGUAAAAAAUUAAUUAUAAAAUAUGAAGAUUUAUCAGAUUUUGUAGAUAAAGAUCUUCCUUUUUCGUUGCUUAGCAACAAUUCAUGGAAAUUAUUCGAGCGAUUUAAAUUAAAAUUCAAGUUUUUAUAUGAAGAUCCUACCACAUGGGAAAUAAAUAAUGAUUACAAUAACGCCAAAGAAAUAUUAUCCUCGACAAAAAUAGUAAACGACAGAAUUCAACGACAAAUUUGGGAUGAAAAUCAAAAGCAAUUUAUAUUACAAGUGGUUCAACAAUAUCGCCAGCUGUAUCCAAGUGUAGCCAAGAAAUUUUGAAUAAAAAAUAUUCAAA